rnacentral:tRNA from 1 species
GCCUUCAUGGUGUAACGGUAGCACACUGGGCUCUAUUCAUGAGAUCCAGGUUUGAAUCCUGGUAAGGGCG